rnacentral:rRNA from 1 species
UACGUAGGGGCCUAGCGUUGUCCGGAAUUAUUGGGCGUAAAGAGCUCGUAGGCGGUUCGGCAAGUCGGAUGUGAAAUCUCCACGCUUAACGUGGAGGGGCCAUUCGAAACUGCUGUGACUCGAGUCCGGUAGGGGAGUGUGGAAUUCCCGGUGUAGCGGUGAAAUGCGCAGAUAUCAGGAGGAACACCCGUGGCUAAGGCGGCUCUCUAGUACGGUACUGACGCUGAGACGCGAAAGCGUGGGGAGCGAACAGG